rnacentral:rRNA from 1 species
UACGUAGGGGGCAAGCGUUGUCCGGAAUCAUUGGGCGUAAAGAGCGUGUAGGCGGCUCGGUAAGUCCGCUGUAAAAGUCCAGGGCUCAACCCUGGAAAGCCGGUGGAAACUGUCGAGCUAGAGUCCGGAAGAGGCGAGUGGAAUUCCUGGUGUAGCGGUGAAAUGCGCAGAUAUCAGGAGGAACACCGGUGGCGAAGGCGGGUCUCUGGGCCGAUACUGACGCUGAGGAGCGAAAGCCAGGGGAGCAAACGGG